UACAGAGGUCUCAAGCGUUGUUCGGAUUCAUUGGGCGUAAAGGGUGCGUAGGCGGCGCGGUAAGUCGGGUGUGAAAUCUCCCGGCUUAACUGGGAGGGUGCGCCGAAGACUGCGAUGCUGGAGUAUGGGAGAGGAAAGCGGAAUUCCUGGUGUAGCGGUGAAAUGCGUAGAUAUCAGGAGGAACACCUGCGGUGUAGACGGCUUUCUGGACCAUUACUGACACUGAGACACGAAAGCGUGGGUAGCAAACAGG
rnacentral:rRNA from 1 species